GACAGAGGGUGCAAACGUUGUUCGGAAUUACUGGGCGUAAAGCGCGUGUAGGCGGCUGUGCAAGUCGGAUGUGAAAUCCCGUGGCUCAACUACGGAAGUGCACCCGAAACUGCGCAGCUGGAGUCUCGGAGAGGAAGGUGGAAUGCUUGGUGUAGAGGUGAAAUUCGUAGAUAUCAAGCGGAACACCGGUGGCGAAGGCGGCCUUCUGGACGAUGACUGACGCUGAGACGCGAAAGCGUGGGGAGCAAACAGG
rnacentral:rRNA from 1 species